rnacentral:rRNA from 1 species
UGCAGUCGAGCGANCCUUUCGGGGAGAGCGGCGGACGGGUUAGUAACGCGUGGGAACGUGCCCAGAGGUACGGAAUAGCAUCGGGAAACUGGUGGUAAUACCGUAUACGCCCUUAGGGGGAAAGAUUUAUCGCCUUUGGAUCGGCCCGCGUAGGAUUAGAUAGUUGGUGGGGUAAUGGCCUACCAAGUCUACGAUCUUUAUCUGGUUUGAGAGGAUGAUCAGAAACACUGGGACUGAGACACGGCCCAGACUCCUACGGGAGGCAGCAGUGGGGAAUCUUGGACAAUGGGCGCAAGCCUGAUCCAGCCAUGCCGCGUGAGUGAAGAAGGCCUUAGGGUUGUAAAGCUCUUUCAGGGGUGAGGAUUAUGACAGUAACCCCAGAAGAAGCACCGGCUAACUUCGUGCCAGCAGCCGCGGUAAUACGAAGGGACCUAGCGUAGUUCGGAAUUACUGGGCUUAAAGAGUUCGUAGGUGGUUGAAAAAGUUGGUGGUGAAAUCCCAGAGCUUAACUCUGGAACUGCCAUCAAAACUUUUCAGCUAGAGUUUGAUAGAGGAAAGCAGAAUUUCUAGUGUAGAGGUGAAAUUCGUAGAUAUUAGAAAGAAUACCAAUUGCGAAGGCAGCUUUCUGGAUCAUUACUGACACUGAGGAACGAAAGCAUGGGUAGCGAAGAGGAUUAGAUACCCUCGUAGUCCAUGCCGUAAACGAUGUGUGUUAGACGUUGGAAAUUUAUUUUCAGUGUCGCAGCGAAAGCGAUAAACACACCGCCUGGGGAGUACGANCGCAAGGUUAAAACUCAAAUGANUUGACGGGGACCCGCACAAGUAGUGGAGCAUGUGGUUUAAUUCGAAGAUACGCGCAGAANCNUUACCAACACUUGACAUGUUCGUCGCGACUUUAAGANNUUAAAGUUUUCGGNUCGGCNGGA